CCCUUAGAUGUUCUGGGCCGCACGCGCGCUACACUGAAGCGUUCAACGAGUAUUCACCUUGCCCGGGAGGGUUGGGUAAUCUUUUGAAAACGCUUCGUGAUGGGGAUAGAUUAUUGCAAUUAUUAAUCUUCAACGAGGAAUUCCUAGUAAGCGCGAGUCAUCAGCUCGUGCUGAUUACGUCCCUGCCCUUUGUACACACCGCCCGUCGCACCUACCGAUUGAAUGGUCCGGUGAAAUCUCGGGACGGCGGCUUGGUCGCUUGCGUCCGACUGCUGAAACUUGAUUAAACCAUAUCAUUUAGAGGAAGGUGAAGUCGUAACA
rnacentral:rRNA from 1 species